CACGUAGGGCGCAAGCGUUUGUCCGGAAUUAUUGGGCGUAAAGAGCUCGUAGGCGGUCUGUCGCGUCUGCUGUGAAAUCCCGAGGCUCAACCUCGGGCUUGCAGUGGGUACGGGCAGGCUAGAGUGCGGUAGGGGAGAAUGGAACUCCUGGUGUAGCGGUGGAAUGCGCAGAUAUCAGGAAGAACACCGAUGGCGAAGGCAGUUCUCUGGGCCGUAACUGACGCUGAGGAGCGAAAGCGUGGGGAGCGAACAGG
rnacentral:rRNA from 1 species